rnacentral:rRNA from 1 species
AGUGGAUGGGGAGCAACCUAGUUGUGCGUGUGUAAAGGUAGUGCCAAGAAAAGCGAUGAUCAUGUUGAAAAUCAAUUCCCGGUACCCGAAACCGACACAGGUGGGCAAGUAGAGAAUACUAAGGGGCGCGAGGUAACUCUCUCCAAGGAACUCGGCAAAAUGACCCCGUAACUUAGGGAGAAGGGGUGCCACCGAGAGGUGGUCGCAGUGAAGAGGCCCAGGCGACUGUUUAGCAAAAACAUAGGUCUCUGCAAACUCGAAAGAGGAGGUAUAGGGGCUGACGCCUGCCCAGUGCCGGAAGGUUAAAGAAGUUGGUCAGUUUUAGGAUGAAGCUAGCGACUGAAGCCCCGGUGAACGGCGGCCGUAGCUAUAACGGUCCUAAGGUAGCGAAAUUCCUUGUCGGGUAAGUUCCGACCCGCACGAAAGGCGUAACGAUCUGGGCGCUGUCUCGGAGAGAGGCUCGGCGAAAUAGGAUUGUCUGUGAAGAUACGGACUACCUGCAUUUGGACAGAAAGACCCUAUGAAGCUUUACUAUAGCUUGGAAUUGUGUUCGGGCUUCCUGUGCGCAGGAUAGGUGGGAGGCGUAGAAGGUAUUCUUGUGGGGAUACUGGAGCCAACGGUGAGAUACCACUCUCAGGAGGCUAGAAUUCUAACUUAAUUAAGGACAGUUUCAGGUGGGUAGUUUGACUGGGGCGGUCGCCUCCAAAAAGGUAACGGAGGCGUACAAAGGUUCCCUCAGACUGGUUGGAAAUCAGUCGAAGAGUGCAAAGGCAGAAGGGAGCUUGACUGCGAGAAGUACAGUUCGAGCAGGGUGGAAACACGGUCUUAGUGAUCCGACGGUCUGUGUGGAAGGGCCGUCGCUCAACGGAUAAAAGUUACUCUAGGAUAACAGGCUGAUCUCCCCCAAGAGUUCACAUCGACGGGGAGGUUUGGCACCUCGAUGUCGGCUCAUCGCAACCUGGGGCGGAAGUACGUCCCAAGGGUUGGGCUGUUCGCCCAUUAAAGCGGUACGUGAGCUGGGUUCAGAACGUCGUGAGACAGUUCGGUCCAUAUCCGAUGUAGGCGUGAGAAUAUUGAGAGGAGCCUUCCUUAGUACGAGAGGACCGGGAAGGACGCACCGCUGGUGUACCUGUUAUGAUGCCAAUUGUAAACGCAGGGUAGCCAAGUGCGGAGAGGAUAACCGCUGAAAGCAUCUAAGUGGGAAGCCCACCUCAAGAUGAGUAUUCUGGUGUAAGGUCACGGGAAGACGACCCGUAAAUAGGCACGAGGUGGAAGUGCAGAGAUGUAUGAAGCCGAAGUGUACUAAUAGACCGUCGGCUU